rnacentral:ncRNA from 1 species
AAGAGGGGAGCUGGGUACGUCCCGGCUGAGAAGGCGUAAUCGAGCGCCUAAACCCAUGAACCUGAUCCGGGUAAUGCCGGCGUAGGAAACCAGAU